AAACACCUGACAAUGUCCCUAGGAAGCUGUUUUAGCACCAUCUCCAUUGUGCAGGUUGGGAGACUGGGGAGGCCCUGAGAGGCACAGUGGCUUUUGCAGGACACAGAACUGGUAGGAAAAAAGAGGUCUGAACUCAGUUGUGUCUCCUCAAAGCUGGGACCUUGUUUCCAUUCCCAAGGUGCUAUGGGAAGAACUCUGAUGGAUGUUUGUGUACAGUUAUGGAGAUGUCAUGGGCAGAGAGGGAGAGCAGUCAAUAGCCCAGAGGGGGCUUUUGGCAGGUCUCAUUGAAGGAAGGGGCCCAGGUAAUGGAAUCUUGGAGAGGUGACCUCACUUCCUUGGUGACAGACCCAAACAGAACUUAGAGCUCUGGUUCCCAGGCACACAUGUUCUAGACACAGCCUCGUGUCCACCUCAUUUGAGUGGAGACACUCAACACAGCAGGAUGUUCUCAUUUUGUACCCUGACUUUCUGAAUCUUUGGCUCUUGGAAAUCUGCGAAUGAGAGCCUCUUCAGUCACUGUAGAUAUUGGCUCAGCCCUCACCUCCAACACCUCUGGCCUUUUGGCAGGAGGAACCCUCAGUGUGAAGAUGACCCCACUGUGAAAUUAAAUGAGCCCUGCAGGAUGCAUGCCUUACAGGCACGCAUGAUGGAGAAGCUGACAGAGUCCAUGGUACCAGACUUCCUGGGUAGAAAUAUCUCCACCGUCACCACAUUCAUGUUCAACUACUCAGCCUUCAAUACAUCCCGCCAAGUCUUGGACCAGCUGUUUACUAGAUGAGUGCCUGUCCCCUCCUCAGCACAGUGGUGACUCUCUCUACUGCUAGCUGUUCAUCAUGGGAAUGCACCACAUCUCUCUGAGCCUCAGCUUGCUCCUCUGAAAAGUGGGGUGGGAGAGAUUAAACUUCAUGGGGUUCUCAUAGGGACUAAUGGGAUCAGCCAUGGGAGGUGCUUACCUGGUGCCUGGCUCUGCAGAUGGGGCUGUGGGGCGUGCUUUGGUUGUUCAUGGUUAGUAUUGGUUCUUCCCUGUGAAAAGCAGUCUGCCUCACCCACCUCUGUGAAGGGGUCUUUUGAGUUUGGACUCAGCACAUGGGGAUCACCCUGUUGAGGAGUUUCAGAUCCCAUCCAGUUGGUCCUGGUCCUUGGGCUUGGUGGAGCCAAUUAAGGAUGCCUGGGACAGCAGAGGGGCCCCAGGCCCACUCAGAUAUCUGAGAUGGUUCUGGUUGGACUUCAUUCAUUCAGCCGUUUAUAUUGAGCACCUACUCCAUGAAGGACUUUUGGAGACACAGCACAACUCAGUGAAUGAAGCAGACACAAUCUCUGGGACUCAGUUGUAGUCUGAGAGUCAAACAGUGACGUUAGACAUCAUUUGUAGGUCCUGUCCUCCAUCGUACAUUACGUGUGAUGCUCUCGUAGCCUCCUUUACAUCUGGAGGCAUCUUCUCAUAUUCUAACAGGACCACCUAAAAAAUGCCGUCUAUACUCCAGUGGGAACCUGCCUGGACCCAGUGCAGGAUUUCUGGAAGCCCCUGCAUUUUCCCUACUUCAGGAUGAAGCUGGCCCAUGUGCAUGUGAGCUCACCUGCCUCAGAGCUGGAGGGCCACGCCUCCCUCCUCCCAGUCCAGCUGGAGCCUCCAGAGCCCGUGGAGGCAGAGCUGGAAGUACGAUUUCCAGAGCUCCCACCAGCUCCAGCUCCAGAGCCAGAGCAAGGGCCAGCUCCAUGGCCCAGGCCAGCUCCAGCUCUAGUUCCACCACCUGUGCUACAGCUGGAGCAAGUGUCACCUCCAUCAGCCCUUCCAGGGCCAGAGCCAGUGCCAACAUCAGCUCCAGCCCCAGGGCCAGCUCCAGCUGGAGCCCGCUGGACCCUUCUCUCCAGGAAGAACACUUCCUCCAUCUGGAGAGAUUACAUCAGAGCCGGAUCCAGCCCCAGAGCCCACCUGCCCCUGUGCAGUGACCACCAAGAGCCUGCUGUGGGAGCAGAAGCCUGACUUCCUGGGGUUCCCUCCCCAGCUGAUUGCAGAGCAAUUUACACUGAUGGAUGCGGAGUUGUUCAAGAAAGUGAUACCCAGCCACUGUCUGGAAUCCACCUAGUCCUGGUGGGACAACAGGGGCAAUGAGCACCUGGCACCUACCAUCUGUGCCGCCAUCACCCAAUUUAGCACUGUAGCAAACUGUGUCAUCAGCACCUGCCUCGGAGACCCAAGCAUGAUGGCCCAGGACAGGGCCAGAGUUGUGGAGCUCUGGAUCCAGGUGUCCAAGGAGUGCCAAGGCCUGAGAAGCUUUUCCAUGCCAUCCUCUCUGCUCAUGGAAGCUGCUCAUGGAGGAAGCAACCUCUUUGUUGGAAACCCUGGACAUAAAUGCCUAGGGAGCCCAGGUGAGGCAGCAGCAGCAGGUAAGUGUGCCUGUGGGGAAGGGUCCAUGCGUCAGAGGAGAGGGGGCUCCGCCCUCACAGCUGGAGGCCUCCACUCAGAGAGGGGUCCCUCCUCCUUGGGCCCAGCUCCUGGCCCCACAGAGCCUGAAACGCCUGCAUUGGAAGUGAGCAGGAGGAGGCCUGGCAGGGCUGGGCCCAGGAGGGACUUGGGGUGGGGAGGAGCAGGGACCACAUUCCCUGGGAUUUGGCAAAAGCCGACCCUGGGAGGUGAUGGGGGGGAUUGGUGUUCCUGGAGGGGGCUACUUUGGGGAGACUGCUGAGGGUCCUGGGCUGCUUUUUGUGGGAGUCUGGGGUGGCAGGAGGCUGGGGUGAGGGGUUUUGGGGGAGGGUCCAUGGGGGUAUCUGAAAAUCUGGACUCAUCAUCACUCCCAUUCUGCUAGCACAGGGUGUCGUCCCCUUCCUGGGCUAAAUCCUCGAUUACCUGCAGCUUCUGGACACUGAGAUGGAGGAUUAUCUGAAGGAGCGUGAGCAUGGAGGGGGGAACAGGGAACAGAAUCCUGAGGUUUGGGAGGCGAGAGUCCCGCACUGGGUCCUGAGCUCUCAGCAUUUGGAAAAGCUCCUCUCCAGAGAGCCUCAUGGUUGCCCCUGGAAGCUGGGGCCUCAAGCCCAUCUUUGAGAUGCGGGAAUGAAGGCUCUGCAUAAUCCCCCCUCCAGGCUCCCUGGGCUGGGGGAGCUCAGAGCUGCCUGACUGCAGAGCUGCAGAAGGUGGCGUGAGAGCUGGACUCAGCCUCAUAUGUUGGAGUCCUAAACCCCAUAGCUCAGUAUUUGAAGACAAGGUCUUUAUAGGGUGAUUAAGUUAAAAUGGUGUCAAUUAGGGCAGACCCUAAUCCAAUAUGACUGCUGUCCUUAUAAGAAGAGGUCAUUUGGACACAGACAUGGACAGAUGGAAGACAAUCUAACAAUGCAGGAAGAAGAUGGCCGCCUACCAGCCAGAAAGAGAGGCCUGGAACAGAUCCUUCCUUCCUCUCAGAAGGAGCCAACCCUGCCAACAGUUUGAGCUCAGAUGUCUAGCCUCUAGAACUGUGAGAAAAAAAAUUCUGUGGUUUAAGCCAUCCAUUGUGUGGUACUUUGUUAUGGCAGCCCUCGUAAUUAAUACAGGGUUUAAUGCCCUUGUAAUGUUUUCCAAGUUAGGGGAGGUCUUUCCAUUCUGUGAGUUAUAUAUUACAAAUGAGUAUUCUACUUUCUCAAUUUUUUUUAUUGUGGAAAAAAGACAGACAAUAUUAAAUUCACUCUGCCAACAAUUUCCAAGUGUACAUUACAACAGUGUUGACCACAUGGACAUGUUGUGCCACAGAUCCUCAGAUGCCCCCAUCCUGCAUGACUGAAUCGCUACACACAGCAAACCACUCCCCACCUCCUCUGACCCCCAGCCCUUGGGAUCCACUAUUCUACUUGGCUUCUGUGAGGUUCACUACUUUAGAUCCGUCAUUUCAGUGGAAUCGUGCAGCAUUUGUCCUUUGGUGACUGGUUUAUUUCAUUUACCAUAAUACCCUCAAGGUUCAUACAUGUUGCAGCAUAUGACAAGAUUUCCUUCCUUUUUAAGGCUGAAUAAUAGUCCAUUGUAUGCCUGUAUCACCUUUUCUUUAUCCCAUCAUCCAUCAGCGCACAUUUAGAUCAUUUCCACCUCUUAGUUAUUGUGAAUAACGCUGCAAUGCAUUUUCUCAAAUGUUCUCCUGGCCCUUAGUGAGACUGAAAUGUGAUAAAUCACCCUUCUAAAUGUCUAAGAGGAGGAAAAUUGGACACAUGACAUGGACAGAGGGAAGACAAUGUAACAACACAGGGAGGAUAUUUAAAUAUUUGUCACUCUACAGAUAAACCUUGUCUAACUACAUAUUGUAUUGAUAUCAGUAUAUUAAUAAUGUAAGAAUUUUGCAUCAAGUGCUUUGUCAUAAUGACUUUUUGUGUGUGUUCAGGAAGCUUGCAUAAUAUGAGGAUCCCCCGAUUCUUGAAUAUUUAGUAGAGUUUUCUAGUAAACUUUUAGGAUGGGAAGUCUCUUCCUAGAUGUGAGGCAGGGAACAGAAAAAUAAUAAAGUGAUUGAUAUAUUUAACUACAUCAAAAGAAAACUGUCGUUUUAUUUAAUUGUUCUUACAUACUCCUUGCUUAUUUAUUAGAAUGACACAUUUUAUUAAUGAAAAGAAAAUUCAAUAAACAAUUUUAAAAUAAAAUAAUAUCCACUGAGAACUUGUAUGAAAUAUGAAAGUUUUAGCAACAUGCUGUGAUCAAUUUCCUCAUCUGUGAAACGGAGAUACAUAAUAGCAUCUUCUGUAUGGGUUCCUGUGAAAAUACUCAAGAGUAAUGUAUGUAAAAUGCUUAUCACCAUGUAGGUUGGAAAGGAACGCCCCAUUCAUUUUUCCACCAGGAUGAUUAUAUAUUUUUUUAAUGCUUGAACUCUGCAGUUUUCAAAAUACAUUCCAUUGUUGCAAAGUGAUGAUUUUUAUAAGUUCUUUGUAGCGUUUGAUGAUCCCUUUGGAAUACAAAUUCAGGCUUGUGUCUGUGUGUCUGUACAUAUAUAUCUCAAAUAAUACUUCAAGACUUAUAGUGAAAAGCUACCUUCUCCACUAUUUACUCUGAUUUUCAGAAACAACUUCUUUAUUUUUUCUGGUUGAAACUCUAUUUAUUCCUAACUUAACUCCUUACGAAACUUUUGACUUUUUCUAAUUACUUCCUUUUCUGAAAGAAUUAGCAUAUAGUUCUCUUACAUACCUUAAAACAUCAUCCCUCACUCAAUAUAAUUGUUUAAUGAAUUAGGAUAAAUCAAAAUUCAAUGCCUAUUGUUUUAUUACAUAAAUGUUUACCAUU